AGAAUCAACGCUGGCGGCGUGCCUAACACAUGCAAGUCGAACGAGAAAGUGGAGCAAUCCAUGAGUAAAGUGGCGCACGGGUGAGUAACACGUGACUAACCUACCCUUGAGUGGGGAAUAACUUCGGGAAACCGAGGCUAAUACCGCAUAACACCUACGGGUCAAAGGAGCAAUUCGCUUAAGGAGGGGUCGCGGCAGAUUAGUUAGUUGGCGGGGUAAUGGCCCACCAAGACAGUGAUCUGUAUCCGGCCUGAGAGGGCGCACGGACACACUGGAACUGAAACACGGUCCAGACUCCUACGGGAGGCAGCAGUGGGAAUUUUGCGCAAUGGGGGAAACCCUGACGCAGCAACGCCGCGUGGAGGAUGAAGUCUCUUGGGACGUAAACUCCUUUCGAUCGGGACGAUAAUGACGGUACCGAGAGAAGAAGCCCCGGCUAACUUCGUGCCAGCAGCCGC
rnacentral:rRNA from 1 species